rnacentral:rRNA from 1 species
UGGGGAAUAUUGCACAAUGGGGGAAACCCGUGAUGCAGCGACGCCGCGUGAAGGAAGAAGUAUCUCGGUAUGUAAACUUCUAUCAGCAGGGAAGAUAGUGACGGUACCUGACUAAGAAGCCCCGGCUAACUACGUGCC